AAUAGAUACCCUGGUAGUCCACGCCGUAAACGAUGGAUACUAGCUGUUUGAGCGCAAGUUUGAGUGGCUAAGCGAAAGUGAUAAGUAUCCCACCUGGGGAGUACGGGCGCAAGCCUGAAACUCAAAGGAAUUGACGGGGGCCCGCACAAGCGGUGGAGCAUGUGGUUUAAUUCGAUGAUACGCGAGGAACCUUACCAGGGCUUAAAUGUAGAUUGACGUAUUUGGAAACAGAUAUUUCUUCGGACAAUUUACAAGGUGCUGCAUGGUUGUCGUCAGCUCGUGCCGUGAGGUGUCAGGUUAAGUCCUAUAACGAGCGCAACCCCUGUUGUUAGUUGCCAGCGAGUAAUGUCGGGAACUCUAGCAAGACUGCCAGUGUAAACUGUGAGGAAGGUGGGGAUGACGUCAAAUUAUCACGGCCCUUACGUCCUGGGCCACACACGUGCUACAAUGGCCGGUACAGAGAGCAGCCACUUAGCGAUAAGGAGCGAAUCUAUAAAGCCGGUCACAGUUCGGAUCGGAGU
rnacentral:rRNA from 1 species